UCUACCUACGGGGCGCAGCAGAGAGGAAUAUUGGUCAAUGGGCGGAAGCCUGAACCAGCCAAGUCGCGUGAGGGAAUAAGGCCCUACGGGUCGUAAACCUCUUUUGCCGGGGAGCAAGGGCGGGGACGUGUCCCGGCCCGGAGAGUACCCGGAGAAAAAGCAUCGGCUAACUCCCUGCCAGCAGCCGCGGUAAUACGGAGGAUGCGAGCGUUAUCCGGAUUUAUUGGGUUUAAAGGGUGCGUAGGCGGGCUUUUAAGUCAGCGGUAAAAAUUCGGGGUUCAACUCCCU
rnacentral:rRNA from 1 species